AUAUAUUUGUAUAUAUAUUGCAUUGACUAUUUCCUGUAUGCGCCAUCCUGGACUGUUGAUAUGCAGAGAAUAAAACAAGAAACUGGAAGUGAUGCGACCCAAUGCUCAUACGGAAUAAUGCAGUACGAUUCAAAACAUACCGACUAUUCGAAGAGUCCGUGGACGACUAACUACGAAACGCCGCCGAUAACACCGAAUUAUCCGCUACUGAGCCAGCAAUCAAACAGUGGCGGUAGCAGCGGCAGCGGCGGCGGCGGCG